rnacentral:tRNA from 1 species
GGUAGCUCAGCUGGAUAGAGCAAUGGCCUUCUAAGCCAUCGGUCGGGGGUUCGAAUCCCUCACUCUCCG